rnacentral:rRNA from 1 species
UACGUAGGGUGCAAGCGUUAAUCGGAAUUACUGGGCGUAAAGCGUGCGCAGGCGGCUAUGCAAGACAGAUGUGAAAUCCCCGGGCUCAACCUGGGAACUGCAUUUGUGACUGCAUAGCUAGAGUACGGUAGAGGGGGAUGGAAUUCCGCGUGUAGCAGUGAAAUGCGUAGAUAUCCGGAGGAACACCGGUGGCGAAGGCGGCUUCCUGGACCGACACUGACGCUGAGGCGCGAAAGCUAGGGGAGCAAACGGG